UUUGAAGCAAUGAUGGAGAUAAGUAUUUUAUGUAGCAUUUUAAGAGAGUCGAUGUUAGGUGAGAAUCGAUAUUGCCUUAAAGUACACUCACUCCUAAGCAGUAUCUUCGAAAGGAUAUUUUCUUAGUAGCUGAUACCGACUAGCCUCGAUAAAGGCUUUUUAUAAUACUGUUAAAGAGGUAAUUAUGAUGUUUUAUACAUAAUUACAAUUAAGGUGGUACCGCGGGUUAUACUCGUCCUUUGC
rnacentral:ncRNA from 1 species